GAUGAACGCUAGCGGCAGGCUUAACACAUGCAAGUCGAGGGGUAGCAGUCUUGAGUAAUCAGGAGCUGACGACCGGCGCACGGGUGCGUAACGCGUAUGCAACCUACCUUAUACAGGGGGAUAGCCCGAAGAAAUUCGGAUUAAUACCCCAUAGUAUUGUUUUAUCGCAUGGUAGAACAAUUAAAGAUUUAUCGGUAUAAGAUGGGCAUGCGUUAGAUUAGCUAGUUGGAGAGGUAACGGCUCACCAAGGCUACGAUCUAUAGGGGGCCUGAGAGGGUGAUCCCCCANACUGGUACUGAGACACGGACCAGACUCCUACGGGAGGCAGCAGUGAGGAAUAUUGGUCAAUGGAGGUAACUCUGAACCAGCCAUGCCGCGUGCAGGAUGAAUGCCCUAUGGGUAGUAAACUGCUUUUAUACGGGAGAAAACCCAGGUACGUGUACCUGGUUGAUAGUACUGUAAGAAUAAGGAUCGGCUAACUUCGUGCCAGCAGCCG
rnacentral:rRNA from 1 species